UGUUGUGUAUCCGUCACCAUUAUUUGUUGUUUGGGAAAACGCCGAGAAAUUACGAUUGUUGAAGCUUGCGAGGACAAAGGGCGAGGUGGUCCGAUAGAUGUUGCUGCCAGGAGAGACCGAAAACGCGAUGGGGCAUACCUGAAAAAGUUGCUAGUUGGUAUGAUUUGAACAAAAUCUUCUAGACCAUGACCAUGAAGUUAAAGAUAUAUACCAAAAUGCAAAGAACUCAAAGUUGAUGGAUGGAUUAGCAGAUGUUUUUGCUUACAUAUGAUAUGGAUAACAAGAUUCUGCAUUGUGAAAACCACGACUCCCAAGCCAAUCUGCUGCCCCUGGAAGGGUUCAAAGAUUCAAAUUCAAAUAUCAGAUUCCAAGAGAAAUAUGCCUUGGUGAACGAUAGCAUCACUGAAGUAUGAAUGUUGCAUACGCGAAAAUGGGAUCACGAGACAGACACGACAAAAUGGUCAAAACUCAAGUACAUUAGUACACCUUUCUCGAGAUGGAAAAUCCAACGAAAACCGGUUCUCUCCGGCUUUAACAGGAUGUGGGCCGACUCUU